rnacentral:lncRNA from 1 species
CCUAUCUAUUCUAUAUCUAUUAUGUACAGAUAUGUAAAAAAUAUAGCUUUAAUUGGGAAAAUUUGCACUGGAUGAAGCACUUUAAAAUUCUUCUCCCAUGCCCCAGUACUGUCAAGUUUUUGCCUAGAGCAACGUACUGACUUUUUGAGUUCUGCUGGAUCCUGCCUAGAGAAACCGCUUGUCAUUUCAAAGUUGCAUUUAUAUUUCCAUACACUUUUUGAAUAUUUCGUUUUGGAAAGAGUAACUCCACCUGCUUCUUUUUUCCACAUGUGUACAUCAAAGGUGAAGCUGGGAUGUGUCCUCUUUCCUCUUAACCCCCUAGCUCAGGACCUGGUAAAUACAGCAAACGGGGAGUGAGUUUCUCAAAUGCCUGGCUGUGUCUGCCCUGUGGCUGCCCCGAGAUGGGGUGGUGGAAUAGCAAGAGGAGCCUUGCCAGCCUGCAGGACUCAGGUGCUGCUGAGCCCUCCAGUUACCACGACUACAGCGCUUUCCAGCAGGUUUCUAUAAGACAAGGAUGUUUUGGACAUGUUCAAGCCCCCAGAACUGGCUGCACCCCGUGUGCCUUUCUCUCAGUGCAGCAACUUAUGGGCUAAUAAUGGCCCCUGCCAGAGCAUAUUGUGCUGGGCGGUCACGGGUGGCAGAAACUACUGGCCUCUCUUUUGACAACCCACAGGAAACAUUUGCACCUCCAGCACUUUCCGCUCAAAGUGCUCCAUGGUAGCAACACCUGUGUGUGGUGCAGAAGCUGGGGCUACACUGCUUUAUAACUCGUCUUUCUAUCUGACCUCUGGAGUCCAGUGAAAGACCAAAACUUUACUGCUGUCCAUGUUCGCAUGUAGUAAUGGUGGGAGAACUAAAUGACACUGAAAAUUCUGGAAAUGAGGAGAAACAGACUAAAGCCACGGGCACCGGAUGAAUGAAGAGAGAGAAGAGUGCUUUAGAACGCCUCCGUCACCGCCUGUUGCACUGUCCUGAUGCUUGUGCUCCCCUACAAGAGGCAGAUGGAACAAAUCUGGGAUGGCUGGCUCACUGUGGCCUGCUGUGCACUGGUGACCACCCUAGUGGCCUUGGCAAACCUGGCCGGCACGGCGCUGACCGUCACCAUCCAGAGGGACUGGAUCGUGAGCUGACGGGUGACAACAGAGGCCAGCUGGUUGGUGAGUGGUACCGCCCUGGGUACUGAUCCUCUAAUCAGCUGAGAAGUAGAGAGCUGACAAGGCAAUCAGGGCUCUGAGAGAGGCUGACAACAGCCUUUAAGAAUAUGUUAUUUGGAGUCAAUGAGACCUGGGUUUGAGUCUGAAUUCAGCUAAAAUCAGCUGUGCCUCUUACUAGAUGCAUACUCCAGGGCAAGUUACGUGACUUUCCUCAUCUGUAUAAUGAGGGAAAUAAAGACACACACACACACACACACACACACACAGCUCAGCUUUGGGAAGGAUUCUAUAAGAUAUAGGAUUUGGAAAGCACUUAACACUAUGUCUGCAUGUAGGAAGUGCCUAAAAAAUGAUUGGUACUGUAUUAUCUAAAGAAUAUAUAGGCCAGGCGAGGUGGCUCACGCCUGUAGUAGUCCCAGCUACUCGGGAGGCUGAGGCAAGAGAAGUGC